rnacentral:rRNA from 1 species
AUUGAACGCUGGCGGCAUGCUUUACACAUGCAAGUCGAACGGCAGCACGGGCUUCGGCCUGGUGGCGAGUGGCGAACGGGUGAGUAAUAUAUCGGAACGUACCCAGAAGUGGGGGAUAACGUAGCGAAAGUUACGCUAAUACCGCAUACGAUCUAUGGAUGAAAGCAGGGGACCGCAAGGCCUUGUGCUCCUGGAGCGGCCGAUAUCUGAUUAGCUAGUUGGUGAGGUAAAGGCUCACCAAGGCGACGAUCAGUAGCUGGUCUGAGAGGACGACCAGCCACACUGGAACUGAGACACGGUCCAGACUCCUACGGGAGGCAGCAGUGGGGAAAUUUGGACAAUGGGCGCAAGCCUGAUCCAGCAAUGCCGCGUGAGUGAAGAAGGCCUUCGGGUUGUAAAGCUCUUUUGUCAGGGAAGAAACGGUAGAGGCUAAUAUCCUUUGCUAAUGACGGUACCUGAAGAAUAAGCACCGGCUAACUACGUG